GCUGAUCAGUGGGUGGCCUUCAUAAGGAGGACGGAGGACACUGCUAAGCCGCCGGAUGAUUACGCCUACUGGCUCAGUCAUCUUUCCAUACACCACCUCCUCGCUGAGACCUUUUGGAUUUACUACUCGACCAUACUACGUCUGGACUUCACUCCCGGUUCCUGUCCUCCUCACGGCACUAACUGCUCCCAGCACUACAGGCUCUCUCUCUCCUUCCCUCCGGUUGUAAAACCUUGCCGAUCUUCAUCACCCCGGAAUACUCAGUCACUCUCCCAGCUCACCCCUCCCUGGAGAUCCUCCAUCACGCUACAUCUACGCUGCUCCCGUUUACCCAUUCACUGGAUUUCCAGUGCACCCUAAGUUCUAGUUACCAAAUAAAUCUUUAUUUUUU